CAGAGGGUGCAAGCGUUGUUCGGAAUUACUGGGCGUAAAGGGCGCGUAGGCGGUUUGGUAAGUCAGAUGUGAAAGCCCGGGGCUCAACCCCGGAAGUGCAUUUGAAACUACCAGACUAGAGUGCAGUAGAGAAUGGCGGAAUUCCCAGUGGAGAGGUGAAAUUCGUAGAUAUUGGGAGGAACACCGGUGGCGAAGGCGGCCAUUUGGGCUGUAACUGACGCUGAGGCGCGAAAGCGUGGGUAGCAAACAGGAUUAGAUACCCUGGUAGUCCACGCUGUAAACUAUGGAUACUCGCUGUGGCUGGUAUUGACCCCGGCCGUAGCCAAGUUAACACGUUAAGUAUCCCGCCUGGGGAGUACGGUCGCAAGAUUA
rnacentral:rRNA from 1 species